rnacentral:rRNA from 1 species
GACGAACGCUGGCGGCGUGCUUAACACAUGCAAGUCGAACGGAAAGGCCCUGCUUUUGUGGGGUGCUCGAGUGGCGAACGGGUGAGUAACACGUGAGUAACCUGCCCUUGACUUUGGGAUAACUUCAGGAAACUGGGGCUAAUACCGGAUAGGAGCUCCUGCUGCAUGGUGGGGGUUGGAAAGUUUCGGCGGUUGGGGAUGGACUCGCGGCUUAUCAGCUUGUUGGUGGGGUAGUGGCUUACCAAGGCUUUGACGGGUAGCCGGCCUGAGAGGGUGACCGGCCACAUUGGGACUGAGAUACGGCCCAGACUCCAACGGGAGGCAGCAGUGGGGAAUAUUGCACAGUGGGCGGAAGCCUGAUGAAGCAACGCCGCGUGGGGGAUGACGGCCUUCGGGUUGUAAACCGCUUUCGCCUGUGACGAAGCGUGAGUGACGGUAAUGGGUAAAGAAGCACCGGCUAACUACGUG